UACGUAGGGGGCAAGCGUUGUCCGGAUUUAUUGGGCGUAAAGCGCUCGCAGGUGGUCCGUUGCGUCGUGCGUGAAAUCCCGAGGCUCAACCUCGGGUCUGCAGUGGGUACGGGCAGACUGGAGUGCGGUAGGGGAGAAUGGAAUUCCUGGUGUAGCGGUGGAAUGCGCAGAUAUCAGGAGGAACACCGAUGGCGAAGGCAGUUCUCUGGGCCGUAACUGACGCUGAGGAGCGAAAGCGUGGGGAGCGAACAGG
rnacentral:rRNA from 1 species